UACCAGCACCCCGAGUGGUCGGGACGUUUUAUUGGGCCUAAAGCAUCCGUAGCCGGUUCUACAAGUCUUCCGUUAAAUCCAACUGCUUAACAGGUGGGCUGCGGAAGAUACUAUAGAGCUAGGAGGCGGGAGAGGCAAGCGGUACUCGAUGGGUAGGGGUAAAAUCCGUUGAUCCAUUGAAGACCACCAGUGGCGAAGGCGGCUUGCCAGAAUGCGCUCGACGGUGAGGGAUGAAAGCUGGGGGAGCAAAGCGGG
rnacentral:rRNA from 1 species